rnacentral:rRNA from 1 species
GACGGAGGAUGCAAGUGUUAUCCGGAAUCACUGGGCGUAAAGGGUGCGUAGGCCGCACGGUAAGUCAGAGGUGAAAUCCCGGAGCUCAACUCCGGAAUGGCCUCCGAUACUGCCGUGCUCGAGGACUGGAGAGGAGUCUGGAAUUCACAGUGGAGCAGUGAAAUGCGUAGAUAUUGUGAGGAACACUAGUGGCGAAGGCGAGACUCUGGACAGUUCCUGACGCUGAGGCACGAAGGCCAGGGGAGCAAACGGG